rnacentral:rRNA from 1 species
UACAGAGGGGGCAAGCGUUGUUCGGAAUUACUGGGCGUAAAGGGCGCGUAGGCGGCCUGUUAAGUCGAACGUGAAAUCCCCGGGCUCAACCCGGGAACUGCGUCCGAUACUGGCAGGCUUGAAUCCGGGAGAGGGAUGCGGAAUUCCAGGUGUAGCGGUGAAAUGCGUAGAUAUCUGGAGGAAUACCGGUGGCGAAGGCGGCAUCCUGGACCGGCAUUGACGCUGAGGAGCGAAAGCUAGGGGAGCAAACGGG